GCACAGGGCUGGGUCUGAGGAUUAGAGUGUCAGAACCAAGGGGCCUUGGGGGGGCGGUACUUAGGAUCAAGAGCCUAAGACCAGCGUCAGCCACCCAGCGGCCGGGCACACUGACCUGGGAGGCAGCGAGGGCGCCCACCCCGUGCAGCAGAGCCUCCGGGAGCCUCUGGGGGCCUCCUCGUCCCUGCACCCUUUCCCAGGUCAGGGACUCACGGACACAGCCACUGACCACUCCCUCUGGUCAGGACCCAGGGGACCACCAGGGGGACCCACUGCCCUCAGGCCCAGAGUCGCCAGGUGGGGCCCCCAGGUGCCACUUACAGCUGAUGGGCCGGUGCCCAGGCCGCCCACCUGGCUCUGCCCUGGGGGGUGGGGCGCUGAGAUGCAGACACUGGGGCCUACCUCUCCAGCCACAGAUUUGAAGGACAUUUGGCCUAAGAAGACACACAGACGCAGCUGAGCACGCGCACGUGAGAGGUGAGCACGCGCACGUGAGAGCCAUGCCCCGCGUCUACCCGAGAGAAACAGGAGCACGUGGCCGCCUGACACCAGACACACCUGUUCCAGCAGCUCCGUUUGUAAGGAUCACAAACCAGAAGCCUCCCAGUGGCCCCCAGUGGGGGAUGGAGGAGCAGACAGGCUCACCCAAACCAGGACGACUGCUCGGCGACAAGAUGGAGCCAAUGACUGGGUCGAACUACAACGUGGAGGAAUCUCAAAACAUUUCACUCAAAAAGCUGAGUGAAAGAAGCCAGACCAAAAAAGUACACAGCGCACGAUACCAUUUACGUAAAAUUCUAGAAAAUGCAAAUGGAUCUGUGGUGACUGAGAGCAGGCCUGCAGCUGCUGCAGGCUUGGGACAGGUCGUUCCCAAAGAGGCAAAGGACACUUCUGGGGACAGAGGAAGCGACUGCCGUCCUGGAAGGUGGUGACGUUCUCACGGGUGUGUGCUUGGGUCAAAGCUGAUCAAACG
ensembl:lncRNA